UUGGAUACUGAACAUCUUGUGCUCACUUAUGGAACCUUGGGCAUUAGGAGCAUGCACAUUUGUUCAUCUCUUGCCAAAGUUUGACCCACUGGUUAUUCUAAAGGUCUUUAGAUAAACUCAACCAAUUGUCAACCAGAAAAAUUUAAAUCUACCUAUAAGCUGGAAGCCCCCGCUUCAAGUUGCCCCACCUUUCUGGACCAAACCAAUGUAUUUUUUAAAUGUGUUUGAUUGAUGUCUUAUGUCUCCCUAAAAUGUAUAAAACCAAGGUGCACCCUGACCAAUUUGGGCACGUGUUCUCAGGACAUCCUGAGGGCUCUGUCAUGGCCAUGGUCACUCAUGUUUGGCUCAGAAUAAAUCUCUUCAAAUGUU
rnacentral:lncRNA from 10 species